AUUAUAACAACAAAAAAAGACAACGUUUUGAGACCGGUGGGUUGCCUACCUCGACCUCCAAACCCUAACUCUAGGUCCAUCCCAUCGCAGAGAAAACCUUCGGUGCCCGGCUGAUGGGGAGGAGGAAGGAGCGACGCCUAGCGGCCAUGGCCGCGGCGGGCCGCAGGGUCAAGCUCGACCUCUUCCUCGAUUCCUCCCCCGGGGAGGCAUCACAUAAUAAUGGAAUAGGAGGUGAAAACCGUGACCAACAGACUGUGGUUCCCACUUCUCCAUCUUCUUCAGGUGGGUUUCAUCAAUUUUCUUCCAAGGGAUAUGUAAAGAAGACAUGCCUAUGGAUUAUGGAACAUAAAUAUGGUGGAAAUUUGGAUUUGUGUACAAGCAUGUAUACCUUCGCAUAUCUGGUUCCGAGAUACAUGUAGGAUUACCGGCCUGCAAGGAACAUUGAGUAAAUUCUUCAGACUGAGCUACCACUGUCAAAAUUUAGUGAAUGCCUAUGGGUAACCUCACUCAGUUGGCAGCAUCUAAGCGUGGGGAUUUCAGGAUGUGAUUGUUCCCUCCUCGGUUCGUAUGUCUCUUUCUUUAUAAAAAGGAGAAUCCUCUAGCAUUGCUUGGGCAAUAUAGUGAUGAUGAAGUGGAAGAUGAGGAAGCAGCAGAUCAACCCACUGGUGAAGCUAAGGGGAGUCCAGGAGAUGCUAGUGCUCAGUUAACUAGUCAGCGUGCGGAUAUAGCUGGUGAUAACAGUGAGGCAAAAAUUGAACCAUCGGCUUCUGUCGGUGAUCAACAAGAAGCAGCACCUCAAGCUGGUGACGUUAAGAACUACACCCAAAGUGUUACUGAAGAAAACACUAUAGCUCCUGAGCCAACUGUACAAGAAGAGAGUGUGAAAGCAACUGAAUCUCUUCCCGAUUCAUCUGGCAUGCAGAUUGUUGGUGAUGUCGGUGGAAAUUGGAAAGCAGUAAUGCAUGAACAGAGUAAUCAGUGUUAUUACUGGAACACAGUUACUGGAGAAACUUCUUGGGAUAUACCAAAUGGAUUAGCUUCAGGAGUUGCAACUGCAUUUGUUCCUUCUGAUGUGGACUAUUCAAAUGAAGCUCAAACCCAUGUCCUUCCCCACAGCACACUGGAAGCAUAUCCAAGUGAUAUGUCUGUUGGGAACGGCACAACUUAUCCUAAUUUGGGAAUGGCAUGUGGAAGUGCACAUGUUACUCAAGAUGCUUAUGCUUAUGCUGCUCCUAUCGCCAGUAAUGAGCCUUUGGACAUUGAUCCCUUGUAUCUUGCAAAAUAUGGUGAUGGUUUGCUGCAAAGAUUGGACCUGCUGGAAAGGCUCUGUGGCUCGAACAAAGGUCUUGAAUUGAUAAGAAGAGAAAUUGAGAUACGGAUGUCGGACUUAAAUGCACUUUCAUCUUAUGGAUCUUCUUUGCUCCCAUUGUGGUUGCAUGCUGAGGUGCACCUGAAGCAACUAGACUCUUCUAUUUCCAAGCUGGAAAUGAACUAUCAUGCAGAUUCAGAACCUAGGAAUUCAAAGACAGAGGUUGCUGAACACAGGGCACCUGAUGAUGCUGACUUGAUAACACCCUCCAAUGGCGAGGCUUUGAAGUAUGAAGUUUGUGCUGGGAUUACUAUCGAUGCAAAUAUGAAGAUUGGUAAGCCAGCUUCAACGUCUCAGAAUUCACAAGGUAGGGAUAAUGCAGCUGUUCCUCCAAAAAUUGAAUCUGACAAUGAUGAAGAUAUGGAUGUGGAAAUGGAAGUUGAUGAAGAUAAUGUCGAAGAGCAGGCACAGUGCAGUUCUGUACCUGAAAAGGAGCAUCCUCCUUCAGAACAGUUGAGUUCAUCUAAUUUGCCAUCAUUUGAAGAUCCUACACCUCCUGAGGAUAAUUCUGUUCCUCCACCUCCGCCAGAAGAGGAAUGGAUUCCACCUCCACCACCUGAACACGAACACGAACCAGCUCCUCCAGCUUCCCCAGAAGAGCCGGCUGCAUCAUAUGUUCAGGUGGAUACAAUUCCUCAGCCAUAUAUAGCUCAAGAAAAUGUUGGCUAUACAAUUUCAGGAAUGGAGUAUUAUAGUACUGAAGGUACAAAUGCCAAUUACUAUAUGCAAGUGAGUGAGCCUCAUGUCCUUCAAGCACAACAUUCUUAUUAUGCACCAGUAUCUGGGAGUGGCAUAUCUGUUUCUGUUGAUGGCACAUCUAUUGCCCCAGAAUCUUAUUAUACCUAUCCUUCAGUCACUGUGGCUGCAAGCGCUGUAGCAGCUGAACAUUCUGGAUACUACGCUUCAUCAGUCUCUGCCAUUUAUAGCAGUGCAGCAGAUAUCAAAACAAGCUCAGCUUCUCUUGUUUCUGCAAUUAGCAAUUCGGAUCUAAAAAAUCAUGAUAAUGUUAUAUCCAAUGAUGCAAGUAUUGUGCCUUUCACCCAAGCUGUAGUAGCAACAUCAGCUGCAGGAACGACAUCUGUUCCUGAAAGUUCUACACAGCCUUCUAGCAGUACUACAAACCAGAUCAAAGUUAUUCGCAACAAGAAGCGGGUUGUUGGUAUUACAUCGUCUCUGAGGUCUAAUAAGAAGGUUUCAAGUUUGGUAGAUAAGUGGAAAGCUGCAAAAGAGGAGCUUCGUGAUGAAGAGGAAGAUGAGCCUGAAACUGCUCUAGAGGCAUUAGAAAGGAAGCGACAAAAGGAAAUAGAGGAGUGGCGGAAACAACAGAUAGCUUUUGGACAUGCUCAGGAAAAUGCCAAUUUUGUUCCUGUUCGUGGUGAUUGGCGUGACCGUGUAAAACGCAGAAGGGCUGAAGCAAAAAAGGAGUCAAAAGAUGACAUUGUUGUUGCAUCUUUAAGUAGUUCCAAACAGCAUAAAGGAUCUCCUGAUCUAGCAGAGCUUUCCAAGGGUCUUCCUACUGGUUGGCAGGCAUACUUGGAUGAGUCUACUAAGCAGGUCUAUUAUGGGAACAGUCUCACGUCUGAGACGUCCUGGGAGCGGCCAACAAAUGAAUGAAGAUCUAUAACCUUGGUGUGCGGUCAACCGAACGAUACAAGUUGAUUUGUUAAUGUAGUUGAUGCUGUUGAAUGGGCAGCCCAAUUUUGUUUGGCAGCCAACCCCAUCCUUUAGAGAAGAACAAACCACACCUCACCAGGAGAUGGCUGAUUGUUUCAUUGUCUUGGUCACAAGGCACAAAAUUUUUGAUGGGAUAGGUUUUGCUUGGCUAACCUAUCUGCAGUACAACAUCUCUUAUUAAUCACUAACUAGAUGAAGGCACAUUUCGGUCA